rnacentral:rRNA from 1 species
AGAGUUUGAUCCUGGCUCAGAUUGAACGCUGGCGGCAUGCCUUACACAUGCAAGUCGAACGGCAGCACGGGGGGCAACCCCUGGUGGCGAGUGGCGAACGGGUGAGUAAUAUAUCGGAACGUACCCUGUAGCGGGGGAUAACGCGUCGAAAGAUGUGCUAAUACCGCAUACGCUCUACGGAGGAAAGCGGAGGACCGCAAGGCUUCGCACUACAGGAGCGGCCGAUAUCGGAUUAGCUAGUUGGCGGGGUAACGGCCCACCAAGGCGACGAUCCGUAGCUGGUCUGAGAGGACGAUCAGCCACACUGGAACUGACACACGGUCCAGACUCCUACGGGAGGCAGCAGUGGGGAAUUUUGGACAAUGGGCGCAAGCCUGAUCCAGCCAUGCCGCGUGAGUGAAGAAGGCCUUCGGGUUGUAAAGCUCUUUCGGCGGGGACGAAACGGUUCGUGCCAACACCACGGACUACUGACGGUACCCGAAGAAGAAGA